AACCUCGGGCCUGCAGUGGGUACGGGCAGACUAGAGUGCGGUAGGGGAGAUUGGAAUUCCUGGUGUAGCGGUGGAAUGCGCAGAUAUCAGGUGGAACACCAAUGGCGAAGGCAGAUCUCUGGGCCGUAACUGACGCUGAGGAGCGAAAGCAUGGGGAGCGAACAGGAUUAGAUACCCUGGUAGUCCAUGCCGUAAACGUUGGGAACUAGAUGUGGGGACCAUUCCACGGUCUCCGUGUCGCAGCUAACGCAUUAAGUUCCCCGCCUGGGGAGUACGGCCGCAAGGCUAAAACACAAAGGAAUUGACGGGGGCCCGCACAAGCGGCGGAGCAUGCGGAUUAAUUCGAUGCAACGCGAAGAACCUUACCAAGGCUUGACAUAUACCGGAAACGGCUGGAAACAGUCGCCCCGCAAGGUCGGUAUACAGGUGGUGCAUGGUUGUCGUCAGCUCGUGUCGUGAGAUGUUGGGUUAAGUCCCGCAACGAGCGCAACCCUCGUCCUAUGUUGCCAGCACGUAAUGGUGGGAACUCAUGGGAUACUGCCGGGGUCAACUCGGAGGAAGGUGGGGAUGACGUCAAAUCAUCAUGCCCCUUAUGUCUUGGGCUUCACGCAUGCUACAAUGGCCGGUACAAAGGGCUGCGAUACCGCAAGGUGGAGCGAAUCCCAAAAAGCCGGUCUCAGUUCGGAUUGAGGUCUGCAACUCGACCUCAUGAAGUCGGAGUCGCUAGUAAUCGCAGAUCAGCAACGCUGCGGUGAAUACGUUCCCGGGCCUUGUACACACC
rnacentral:rRNA from 1 species